rnacentral:misc_RNA from 1 species
AGCAUUUGAUGUGUAAUUCCAAUGGUCUAUGCAGAGUGUGCAUCAUUAUCAACUAUCCCUCGUGGUAAAUGGUACUGCAAGUAUUGUGAAAGCAUGUUACAGAGGGAGAAGUUUGCGGAGCGCAAUACGAAUGCCUUAGCAGCCGGCAGGAUCUCCGGCAUUGAUCCUAUUGAGCAAAUAACAAACCGUUGCAUUCGUUUUGUCAAGAAUGCAGAAGAGGCAGAAUUUAUUGCAUGUGUUUUAUGCAGAGCUUAUGACUUUAGCAAGUCUGGUUUUGGUCCACGGACUGUCAUUCUUUGUGACCAGUGCGAGAAAGAGUAUCAUGUUGGCUGCUUGAAGAAAAGCAAGAUAGCAGAUUUAAAGGAAUUGCCUAAAGGAAAAUGGUUCUGUAGUGUGGAUUGCAAGAGGAUCUAUUGUGCCCUGCAAAAUUUGCUUAACUCAGGAGAAGAGAGGUUGCCUGAUUCUUGUUUGGAUGCAGGAAGAGUUAAGGAAAAACAUAACAGUUUGGUUGCUGUUGGUGAACUUGAUGUUAGAUGGAGGCUUCUUAGUGGCAGAAUUUCCUCCCGUGAAACCAGAAGGCUACUGGCAGAAGCUGUUUCUAUCUUCCAUGAUGGUUUCGAUCCUAUUGUUGAUUCAGUAACUGGACGUGACUUCAUUCCUUCUAUGGUUUAUGGAAGGAAUAUUAGGGGCCAAGACUUUGGGGGCAUGUAUUGCGCUAUAUUGACUGUAAACUCAACAGUAAUAUCAGCAGGGAUCCUCCGGAUUUUUGGCCAGGAUAUGGCAGAACUCCCUCUUGUGGCAACCCGUGUUGGUAGCCAAGGCAAGGGAUACUUUCAGUUGCUGUUCUCCUGCAUAGAAAAAUUGCUUGCAUUUUUGGGCGUGAGACGCUUUGUACUCCCAGCUGCUGUUGAAGCUAUGUCGAUUUGGACUAAGAAAUUUGGAUUUGAGGAGUUAACACCAGAGCAGCUUGUCAGCUACAGAAAAACUUGUUGGCAAAUGAUUAGCUUUAAAGGCACAUCUAUGCUGGAAAAAAUGGUUCCUAAAUGUAGAAUCAUUAAACAAGGGGAAGGUGAAACUGAUGUUCCAGAUGAGUAGUUAAAUCCCAUUUGUAAAUCCAUUUUUUU